UGGCAGACAGACAGAGAAGCAUCACCAUUACAUAUUAUGCACUUUAUAUUAAUGUAUAACUAGUGACUGUGCCCUGAGUGACACCUCCGCCACUCUCUCCCUCCCAGCAUGCACUGCGAGGUCACAAGAUGGCGGCGCCCAUUGGAGCUCGCCGUUGCCUUGGUAACUUGCGGCCCCUGCUCCGCUGUGUGUUUAGGCCGCGGGGACCGGUCCUCACCCCCCUGCCUCGGUACUGCCAUGGGGAUGCCCAGAUCCUUCCGUCCUCCUCCGCCGUGCUCUCCCGGCUGUCCCCCGGCCUCACCAUCCAGCAGGACUUCAUCUCUCCCGAGGAGGAGACGGCUCUGUGCGGGGAGCUGGAGCCCGUCCUGCGCAAGAAGCGCUACGAGAGCGGUCACUGGGACGAGGCCAUCCACGGCUUCCGUGAGAUAGAGCGCCUCCACUGGUCCCCGGGCUGCUCUGCGCUCCUGCAGAGGGUGAGGGACAAAGCUUUCACUCCAGAAGAGUCCCAGCUAGCCCUUGUCCAUGUUCUGGACCUCCAGAAAGAAGGGUACAUCAAGCCGCAUGUGGACAGUGUAAAGUUCUGUGGUAGCACCAUUGCAGGGCUCUGCCUGUUGUCCUGCAGCGUCAUGCGAUUAGUGUCCGUGGAUAAUGCAGAUGAGCGAGCGGAUCUCUUACUGCCCAGGCGUUGCCUUUAUAUAAUCAGUUUAUGAAUGGACAAGAAAUCACGUCAUUACUGUGAGUGGUCUGAAGUUAUAUGUUAGAGGAAUUACCUAAUAAAGUCAAAGCACCCUGGGUGCUAUCAAAACGAAGCAAUGUCGUAAUAGGAGAAAUCCAGUGAUGAGCAGCCUGGUACACUUCAAGGGGCGCACGGUAAUAAAAGACAGCAACUCUGAAAUGACCUCCGCACCGCCACCACUUGCCCUCAAAUCCCCCACUUGUCCUAAAGCUGCCCGCCAUGAUGCCACCUUGACCUCCCAUUUGUUCUGAAAUGCCCCUAUGUGUCCACAGACCUCCAUGUGCCCUUGGAUCCUACAGAAACUCCAAAACUGCCUCAGAACAGUUUGCCAGCAGAUAAGAACUACUUGGCCCAUCUUGUCUGCCUUAAACACAUGUACACACUGACACACUAGGGUUAGUAUUUGUAGGGCGCCAAUUACCCUUCACUAGUGUUAAUAAUUGUAAGGAGUCAAUUACUCUACCAGUAUGUUUUUGGAUUGUGGGCGGAAACCCACGCAAACACGGGGAGAAUAUACAAACUCCACACAGGGCCAUGGUGGGAAUCGAACCCAUGACCCCAGUGCUGUUAGGCAGUAAUACUAACCAUUACACCAACGUAUGCCCUCGUGGCAAUCAGAGCUCCUCAUUUGCUCUCCACACUGGAGGUAACCCACUAACUAAUUCCACUAAUUCAAUUAUUCAUUCAAUUUCAUGUAAUUAACUGCAGACAGAGAAUGGCCGAAGAGUGCAGGUGGGGCAGAGGAAGUCAUGUGAUGCGGAAGCCGGUUGCUCUCAUUGUCUUCCUCUCUGCCCAACAGGCUUUACUUCCUAUUAUGUGAAAGUAAUAGUUGCUGCCAUAUCCAUCACUCUACAGUGAGAAAGAUUAUUUAGUAGACAUUGGACACUAAACACUAAGUUCAAUCAGGCUAUAUUGUCGUCGUCCCCCCCCAAAAAAAAAAAAAUGUAUUAAGAAACAUAGAAUUAAAAGACAGAUAAGACCCACAAUGCCCAUCCAGUCUGCCCUUUCCGGUUAGAGUAUUAGGGUUAGUUUAGGGAUUCAGGUUAUGGUUAGUUUAGGGUAUUAGGGUUAGUUUAGUGGAUUGGGUUAGGGUAAAGCUCGGUACACAUUAGACAAUAUAUUGGAUGAUUUGUUGUUUUGAGCCGUCUAGGUUGAAUCGUCAGUGCAGGCAGAUCUGAAGAUACUGUAUAUUUCACGACAGCAUGCUCCUGGAUGUGGCCCCUGAACGCUAUAUAUCACACGGUCACACAAUAUAUCGUUCAUUGUGUAUGGCAGACAGACAUAUCGUUCCGUUGGUCAUCCCGCCUGCCACGAUCCAGGAUCAUCUAGUGUGUACUCAGCUAGUUAUGGGAUUAUAUAACACAAAAGCUAUAUAUAGGGGCCUACAGCCCUCUCUCAGCACAAACAUUUUCAAAGUUCAUCACUCGCCAUCAGAAAAAGAAGAGUGACUGGGGAAGGGAAGCCAGGGAGGGGUACCUCAGCAUGGCACAGGUUUGCAAAGCCGCAAGUGAAAACAAGACUCAUAGAACCGUGUUCUUUGGACAGAAGAGAACAAAGUGGAGCAGCUUAGUGUUACUGCACAAUACGGCAGAAUAUCUGCAGCUGAAUGGAUGAAAUAAGAAAAGAACCAUGGUUUUGGAAUGUGCAAGUCGAGGGCCAAACAUCAACCUCAUUGAGAUGUCAUGAUGGGACCUUAAGAGACACGAUGGAAGAGACCUUUAAACUCCUACGUUGAUUUGCUGCCAAAGGUGGUUCGUAAUCCCUUAUGUCUGGUUGAAUAAAAGUAUCUUCUGUUUCA